ACAACAGUACUCAGUAGACAUGGAAAAGAAUCGACAUUCUGACAGAUUUUAUCCACAAAAUGGCGGAUUUCCAUUGUCUAACUAUCACUUUGUCUUGUCUAACUGUCAUUUUGACUAUUCUUCCGUGGAAAGAAACUGUUUCUAUUGUGACCAUGCUACGCCCGCAUGUAAAUUAAUUCUG